rnacentral:lncRNA from 1 species
AAUAAAAGCAGGCUGCACGAGCUAGCAGGGGCAACCCGCUGGGGUCGUCUUCCAUGCGGUAGAAGCUUUGUUCUUUUGCUGUUUGCAAUAAAUCUUGUUGCUGGUCACUGUUUGGGUCCGCACUGCCUUUGUGAGCUGUAACGCUCACCACGAAGGUCUGCGGGUUCACUGCUGAGGCCAGUGAGAGCCCGAGCCCACCAGGAGGAAUGAACAACUCCGGAUGGGAGAAACGAACAACUCCAGAUCCGCCGACUUAAGAGCUGCAACACUCACCGCCAAGCUAUGCAGCUUGACUCCUGAAGCCAGCGAGACCACGAACCCAUCAGAAGAAAAACUGUGAACACACCCGAGGAAUAAACUCCGGACACACCAUCUUUAAGAAUUGUAACACUCACCACGAGGGUCCACGGCUUCAUUCUUGAGCAAGCUACCACUGUUUAGAGAGAGUCUCCUGUUGUCUUCGUCCUGAGGCUUCUUCCAUCUGCACGGAGGUUCCGAAGCGUUUAUGACAUAUCAAUCCCUCUACCAUCAGGCACACAUUUCACUGUUUUGGGAGAAGGCCUUUGGACUGAAGCUGGAAUCACUGCUGCUCCGUGGGUGCUUGUCAUGGCUCCUGUGGAUGGGAACCCGCUAGGCUUCUAGGCUCUGCAUGGGUUUGUCUUUUUGAAUAAAUUGAGCAAUUGAAUUAUUGAUCC